UACGUAGGUGGCAAGCGUUGUCCGGAUUUACUGGGCGUAAAGAGCGCGCAGGCGGUCGUUCAAGUCGCGUGUGAAAGCCCCCGGCUCAACUGGGGAGGGUCACGCGAUACUGAUCGACUCGAAGGCAGGAGAGGGUAGUGGAAUUCCCGGUGUAGUGGUGAAAUGCGUAGAUAUCGGGAGGAACACCAGUGGCGAAAGCGGCUUCCUGGUCCAGCAUCGACGUUCAGGCACGAAAGCGUGGGGAGCAAACAGG
rnacentral:rRNA from 1 species